rnacentral:rRNA from 1 species
CCUACGGGGAGCAGCAGUGAGGAAUAUUGGUCAAUGGGCGCGAGCCUGAACCAGCCAAGUCGCGUGAGGGAGGACGGCCCUACGGGUUGUAAACCUCUUUUGCCGGGGAGCAACGGGCGCCACGUGUGGCGCCACUGAGAGUACCCGGAGAAAAAGCAUCGGCUAACUCCGUGCCAGCAGCCGCGGUAAUACGGAGGAUGCGAGCGUUAUCCGGAUUUAUUGGGUUUAAAGGGUGCGUAGGCGGAUCGUUAAGUCAGUGGUCAAAUUGAGGGGCUCAACCCCUUCCCGCCAUUGAAACUGGCGAUCUUGAGUGGAAGAGAAGUAUGCGGAAUGCGUGGUGUAGCGGUGAAAUGCAUAGAUAUCACGCAGAACCCCGAUUGCGAAGGCAGUAUGCCGGCUUCCGACUGACGCUGAAGCACGAAAGCGUGGGGAUCGAACAGGAUUAGAUACCCCUGUAGUC